AAGUCGUAACAAGGUCUCCGUUGGUGAACCAGCGGAGGGAUCAUUACUGAGUUUACCGCUCUAUAACCCUUUGUGAACAUACCUUACUGUUGCUUCGGCGGGCGCCCGCCGGAGGAUAACCAAACUCUGUUUUAACGUCGUCUCUUCUGAGUGGCACAAGCAAAUAAAUAAAAACUUUUAACAACGGAUCUCUUGGUUCUG
rnacentral:misc_RNA from 1 species